CGUUAAAGUUGAAUGUGAAAUCCCCGGGCUCAACCUGGGAACCUGCAUUCAAAACUGACGAGCUUAGAGUAUGGUAGAGGGUGGGUGGAAUUUCCUGUGUAGCCGGUGAAAAUGCGUAGAUAUAGGAAGGGAACACCAGUGGCGAAAGGCGACCACCUGGACUGAUACUGACACUGAGGUGCGAAAGCGUGGGGAGCAAACAGGAUUAGAUACCCCUGGUAGUCCACGCCGUAAACGAUGUCAACUAGCCGUUGGGGAGCCUUGAGCUCUUAGUGGCGCAGCUUAACGCAUUAAGUUGACCGCCUUGGGGGAGGUACGGCCGCAAGGUUAAAACUCAAAUGAAUUUGACCGGGGGCCCGCCACAAGCGGGUGGGAGCAUGUGGUUUAAUUCGAAG
rnacentral:rRNA from 1 species